CCCCUUGUCGUGUCGGGGUUAUGGCACGGCUUCCUCCCUGUUGGACCUGGCCGGGCCGCGUGCCCGGCCUUUUUU
rfam:Rhodobacteraceae bacterium CG2_30_10_405 cg_3.0_sub100_scaffold_446_c, whole genome shotgun sequence.